UUCAUUUCUCUGCUUCUUCUUUGAGCGCCGUCACUAACCCACGAUUAUGCUGCUUCUGCUUUCAAACAACCCAGGUUCUGGUUCGCUUACUCCACCGCCGCCGCAACCGCUAGUGGUGCUCUAUCCCUCGAUGUUUCUCAGAGUUUGCUUACUCCACCCCCACGAUUUGCCGGCUUUCAAACAACUCAAGAAACUGCUAUCGGUGUUCGUCAGCGAACUUCGAUUUGCUUAGAGUUCGGUUCCUCCACCCCCACGAUUUUCCGGCUUUCAAACAACUCAGUGAAGCUUAAGGAUCAAUACUGAGGGAUUGGUUUGCAUCUGGAGCUAAGUAAUGCAGUUUCCAGAUUUUGCUUUUGAGGUUCUUCUCCCAACCGCUUUCCUCCGAAUUCCUCCGUUCGCCGACCGCGUUUUUUUUCCCGAACUCCGCCAUUUUUCGCCGGCCUUUUUCUACAGACAAGAAAACAACAUAACUCUAAUGAUUGUGGGUACUAUGUGAUAAAAAAUAUGUUGAUAUUGUCUCUGCCAAUAUAACUGAAUCUUGGAUGUAGGUAUUUGAUGAUCCUACAUAAUUAACAAGAUGAUUUGUAUGAUUUGCGACUCCAUUGGGCAAAAUGUUUCUUUGCGUUAUAUAAAGAUUAAGCUUUAUCUGCAAAUGUAAUUUUGGUGUUGUCUUCAGAAGCUACAACUCAUCUUCUCGUGGAUGCAUGUUGGUAUUUCAAGUGCGCUAAAGGACUUAAAUGGUUGGAUAUUUGUUGUUUUGUUAUUUUGUUGUAGUCCACCGUGUGUAAACUUUCUUAUGAUUUUGUACAUUUGUGUAUCAUAGAUUAAUACUUUUGUAAAUUUUGAAGAAUAUAUAUAUGCACCUUAGCUAUU